rnacentral:rRNA from 1 species
UACAGAGGUCUCAAGCGUUGUUCGGAUUUAUUGGGCGUAAAGGGUGCGCAGGCUGUAUGGUAAGUUUGGUGUGAAAUCCUGGGGCUUAACCCCAGAAUUGCACUGAAUACUGCCGUGCUAGAGGACUGGAGAGGAGAUUGGAAUUCACGGUGUAGCAGUGAAAUGCGUAGAUAUCGUGAGGAAGACCAGUGGCGAAGGCGAAUCUCUGGACAGUACCUGACGCUCAUGCACGAAGGCCAGGGGAGCAAACGGG